rnacentral:rRNA from 1 species
UGGGGAAUAUUGGGCAAUGGGCGAAAGCCUGACCCAGCAACGCCGCGUGAAGGAAGAAGGUCUUCGGAUUGUAAACUUCUUUUAUAAGGGACGAAAAAAUGACGGUACCUUAUGAAUAAGCCACGGCUAACUACGUGCCAGCAGCCGCGGUAAUACGUAGGUGGCAAGCGUUGUCCGGAUUUACUGGGUGUAAAGGGCGCGUAGGCGGGACUGCAAGUCAGAUGUGAAAUCCACGGGCUCAACCCGUGAACUGCUAUUUAGAAACUGUAGUUCUUGAGUGUCGGAGAGGCAAGCGGUAAUUCCUAGUGUAGCGGUAGAAAUGCGUAGAUUAUUAGGAGGAACACCAGUGGACGAAAGCGGCUUGCUGGACGAUAACUGACGCUGGAGGCGACGAAAGCGGUGGGGAGACAAACGAGGAUUAGACUACCCUGGUA